rnacentral:lncRNA from 1 species
GAAAGCUCCAUGAUAAAUCUCUCAAAACAAAACCAAAUUACAAAAGAUCUCUUCCUCUUUUUGGGAUCGAUAUCGAGGGAAAAGGGUCCUCUUCUCGUUGGCUCAUCUUUUAGGACCAAUCAAAUGGGUAUUACUCAUGAUUUUGAGGUGACUCAGGGAGAUGGUAUGUCAGGAUCUGUCUUUUUUUUUUUUUUUUUUUUUUGUAUCCAACACAUUCAGUAUCACAUCUUGGUGAAAGCAAAUAGCUUAUCACCCUUAUUUCUUAAGAAAAUUCAGUUAACAUAUAAGCUCUAUGGGCUUGUAAUGUAUGGGUAGAAACGAUAGUUAAGCAUAUGGAAACAAGUUAUGGCCUAAUGAUCAUGAGUAAUUGGUAAAUUCCUUAAAGGCGAAAUCUUCACUUCAAAUUGUCAUGAAAGAUAAGUCAGCAAUGGACUUUAUGAGCUUGUAAUGUGGCUUAACAAUGAUAGCUAAAAAAAAUAGAAUUUUCAAGGACAACGCACUUAAGAUCGCCUUCUUUCACAAAAAUUGCCCCAGUUUUGGAUUUAAAAUCCGGGACCCCUUUUGACUCCCUUUUUCUUAUCAAUCCUCUUUUUUCUUCAACAAUCACUAAAGGGAAUGCAACAUUGGAUGUCUUCGCAUUUUCUUUCUUUUCUUUUUUUUUUUCAUCAUUUUUUCAUUUUUUCAUUUUUUCUUUUCUCUCUUUGCCCUUUUUUUUUUUUUUUUUUUUUUACCAAUACUGAUAUCCCAAUGUCAAUGAUAAAAUUGAAAACUCCCUAAUUUGGAGUGUAGAUGGCCCCUGUUUCUUUUUGAUAUUGAAGACCAAAAUAUCAAUGGUAGAGUCAAAUUCCCCCAACUUGUAAUUUUUCUCUUGCAAAAAUUUUGAGCAUCUUUGCCAUUUUUUCAAUUCUCAAAUCUCCUUCCCCAGUGUGGGGGUGCGAUCAUAAGUGCUUUUGAAACGAACCACCAAUUUAGGCUCAAACGAGGAUGCAAAGAAUGGAUAGUGUUUGGAUAGUAGAAACAACGGCCAAAGCAUCAUUCUUAUUUUUCAUGACAACCAAAGUAAAGAAUAGCCCGUUGAGAAAAUCCAUUUCCUUUUGACGUGUAAAGUUAUGAUCACUAAGGCUCUUAUUUGAAAUGA